rnacentral:lncRNA from 1 species
GACAAAAAAACUGUACCUUUUGGGGAAUAGGCCAAGAAGUUUAAAAACUCAUUUUUGCUAACUUUAUUCAACCAACCAUCACUCAUGAGAGUAAUUCCUGUCCUUGGCCAACUAUGUUUAUAUUCUUCAAUCCACUUUUUAACUCCCUCUACCUCUUUAUCUAAUAUUAGCCCAUUGAGCUCAUAUGCCGUCGGGGGUUUUACCCCGGGCCCGACUCUUUGGAUUGCACUAAUCAUAGGUGGA